rnacentral:tRNA from 1 species
GUCCUCUUAGUUAAAUGGAUAUAACAAGCCCCUCCUAAGGGCUGAUUGUAGGUUCGAUUCCUGCAGGGGACGCCA